UGGGGAAUAUUGCACAAUGGGCGCAAGCCUGAUGCAGCCAUGCCGCGUGUAUGAAGAAGGCCUUCGGGUUGUAAAGUACUUUCAGCGGGGAGGAAGGCGAUAAGGUUAAUAACCUUGUCGAUUGACGUUACCCGCAGAAGAAGCACCGGCUAACUCCGUGCCAGCAGCCGCGGUAAUACGGAGGGUGCAAGCGUUAAUCGGAAUUACUGGGCGUAAAGCGCACGCAGGCGGUCUGUCAAGUCGGAUGUGAAAUCCCCGGGCUCAACCUGGGAACUGCAUUCGAAACUGGCAGGCUAGAGUCUUGUAGAGGGGGGUAGAAUUCCAGGUGUAGCGGUGAAAUGCGUAGAGAUCUGGAGGAAUACCGGUGGCGAAGGCGGGCCCCUGGACAAAGACUGACGCUCAGGUGCGAAAGCGUGGGGAGCAAACA
rnacentral:rRNA from 1 species